rnacentral:ncRNA from 1 species
CAAAAAGCAAUGAGAGGAACUAGUAACAAGAACUUCACUCAGAAAGAGAGCCGGUGGCUGGUGUGAACCGGUGUGUGAUGCUUGUGAAUCCCUCCUCGAGCAAGGUAUGGAACGUCUCUAUUUAGAGGUCAGUAAGUACUUUCGGUAGAAACCGUUACAUUUUUUCGAGGUGGACAGUCUUGACUGUCAACCAGGGUGGUAUCGCGUGAUUAACUCUCGUCCCUGUU